CCUACGGGCGGCUGCAGUGGGGAAUAUUGGACAAUGGGGGCAACCCUGAUCCAGCCAUGCCGCGUGAAUGAUGAAGGCCUUCGGGUUGUAAAGUUCUUUUGGUAGGGACGAUGAUGACGGUACCUACAGAAUAAGCUCCGGCUAACUUCGUGCCAGCAGCCGCGGUAAUACGAAGGGAGCUAGCGUUGUUCGGAAUUACUGGGCGUAAAGGGCGCGUAGGCGGUUCGACAAGUUGGAUGUGAAAGCCCAGGGCUCAACCCUGGAAUUGCAUUCAAAACUGUCUUACUUGAAUUCGGUAGAGGUUGGUGGAAUUCCCAGUGUAGAGGUGAAAUUCGUAGAUAUUGGGAAGAAUAUCCGUGGCGAAGGCGGCCAACUGGACCGACAUUGACGCUGAGGCGCGAAAGCGUGGGGAGCAAACAGGCUUAGAUACCCCGGUAGUC
rnacentral:rRNA from 1 species